rnacentral:rRNA from 1 species
CACGGGGAGAGCAAGCGUUGUUCGGAAUCACUGGGCGUAAAGGGCGUGUAGGCGGUUCGGUAAGUGGAAUGUGAAAUCCCUCGGCUCACCCGAGGACCUGCAUCCCAAACUGCCGAGCUUGAGUAUGGGAGAGGAUGAGGGAAUUCCUGGUGUAGCGGUGAAAUGCGUAGAUAUCUGGAGGAACACCGGUGGCGAAGGCGGCAUCCUGGACCAAUACUGACGCUGAGGAGCGAAAGCCAGGGGAGCAAACGGG